UACGUAGGGUGCAAGCGUUGUCCGGAAUUAUUGGGCGUAAAGGGCUCGUAGGCGGUCCAUCGCGUCGGGAGUGAAAAGCUGGGGCUCAACCCCAGUCCUGCUUUCGAUACGGGUGGACUAGAGGUAUGCAGGGGAGAACGGAAUUCCUGGUGUAGCGGUGAAAUGCGCAGAUAUCAGGAGGAACACCAGUGGCGAAGGCGGCUCACUGGCCCGGUACUGACGCUGAGGUGCGAAAGCGUGGGGAGCAAACAGG
rnacentral:rRNA from 1 species